rnacentral:sRNA from 1 species
AGAACGAUGAAUGGUAUGAGGUUCUAC